rnacentral:rRNA from 1 species
UACGGGGGGGCAAGCGUUGUUCGGAAUUACUGGGCGUAAAGGGCUCGUAGGCGGCCAACUAAGUCGGACGUGAAAUCCCUCGGCUUAACCGGGGAACUGCGUCCGAUACUGGAUGGCUUGAGUUUGGGAGAGGAUGCGGAAUUCCAGGUGUAGCGGUGAAAUGCGUAGAUAUCUGGAGGAACACCGGUGGCGAAGGCGGCAUCCUGGACCAAUUACUGACGCUGAGUGAGCGAAAGCCAGGGAGCAACGG